GAUGAACGCUGGCGGCGUGCCUAAUACAUGCAAGUCGAGCGAACAGACGAGGAGCUUGCUCCUCUGACGUUAGCGGCGGACGGGUGAGUAACACGUGGAUAACCUACCUAUAAGACUGGGAUAACUUCGGGAAACCGGAGCUAAUACCGGAUAAUAUAUUGAACCGCAUGGUUCAAUAGUGAAAGACGGUUUUGCUGUCACUUAUAGAUGGAUCCGCGCCGCAUUAGCUAGUUGGUAAGGUAACGGCUUACCAAGGCAACGAUGCGUAGCCGACCUGAGAGGGUGAUCGGCCACACGGGAACUGAGACACGGUCCAGACUCCUACGGGAGGCAGCAGUAGGGAAUCUUCCGCAAUGGGCGAAAGCCUGACGGAGCAACGCCGCGUGAGUGAUGAAGGUCUUCGGAUCGUAAAACUCUGUUAUUAGGGAAGAACAAAUGUGUAAGUAACUAUGCACGUCUUGAUGGUACCUAAUCAGAAAGCCACGGCUAACUACGUG
rnacentral:rRNA from 1 species